rnacentral:ncRNA from 1 species
CCUUAUUAAGAGCGGGGGAGGGAAUGGGCCCUUUGAUCCCGCGGCAACCUCACAGCAAGUGAAGGUGCCAAUUCCCACGGGGCGAAGGCCAUGCUCCGGCAGAUGAGG